rnacentral:tRNA from 1 species
AGUGGGGGGCAUUUGGACUCCAACAGCCUUCUAAGCUGUGGGUCGCAGGUUCGAAUCCUGCCU